CGGUCAAGGAGUGAAGAAGAUCAGUUGAGCGUUUCUGUGACUCCGCCCAGCGGCUGCUCUUCUGAGAGGCACCGCUCUGACAGCUCUGUCUACUGGGAAACGCGCUAAAAGUCCUUCUGGAGGUAAGCAACACUACACAAUUUCACCAAGUCUGAUAGUAAAAGCUUUCUCGAAGGCUUUGCAUUUGAACUCCUGUGACUGGUUGCGGUCUUGAAGGGAAUGACUUCCUGGCCUUCCUGACAUCCAGGAAAAUGUUUUAUUGGACAGUAGAGAUCUAAUGGAAACAGUGGAGA